AUUUCGGCUCUUCUCAGAGCCAUACAGGUUUCGAAAAUAAAGCACG
rfam:Clonorchis sinensis DNA, scaffold: 55, strain: Henan.